UGCCUUAGUAACGGCGAGUGAAGCGGCAACAGCUCAAAUUUGAAAUCUGGCUUCGGCCCGAGUUGUAAUUUGUAGAGGAUGCUUCUGGCGACGUGCCUUCCGAGUCCCCUGGAACGGGGCGCCGAAGAGGGUGAGAGCCCCGUACGGUUGGACGCCGAGCCUCUGUGAAGCUCCUUCGACGAGUCGAGUAGUUUGGGAAUGCUGCUCUAAAUGGGAGGUAAAUUCCUUCUAAAGCUAAAUACCGGCCAGAGACCGAUAGCGCACAAGUAGAGUGAUCGAAAGAUGAAAAGCACUUUGGAAAGAGGGUUAAAAAGUACGUGAAAUUGCUGAAAGGGAAGCGCUUGCGACCAGACUCGCGCCUGGCGGAUCAUCCAGCGUUCUCGCUGGUGCACUUCGCCUGGCACGGGCCAGCAUCGGUUCGGCGGGGGGGAUAAAAGCCCGGGAAACGUAGCUCCCUCCGGGGAGUGUUAUAGUCCCUCGCCCAAUGCUCCCUGCCGGACCGUGGACCGCGCCUUCGUGCAAGGAUGCUGGCGUAAUGGUCGUUAGCGACCCGUCUUGAAACACGGACCAAGGAGUCGAACAUUUGUGCGAGUGUUUGGGUGCAAAACCCUCACGCGUAAUGAAAGUGAACGGAGGUGGGAGCCUCGGCGCACCAUCGACCGAUCCUGAUGUUCUCGGAUGGAUUUGAGUAAGAGCAUAACUGUUCGGACCCGAAAGAUGGUGAACUAUGCCUGUGUAGGGUGAAGCCAGAGGAAACUCUGGUGGAGGCUCGCAGCGGUUCUGACGUGCAAAUCGAUCGUCAAACAUGGGCAUGGGGGCGAAAGACUAAUCGAACCAUCUAGUAGCUGGUUUCCGCCGAAGUUUCCCUCAGGAUAGUAGUGCUGAUCUCA
rnacentral:rRNA from 1 species